GAGGGAGGAAGGGAAAAUUCUAAUCACACACCCACUACCUUCAGUGUUCGGAGAAGGGGAUGCCCCCUCCCGCCCCCCGCACAGAAGAUAAGCCUUUUAUUCUCCCCUUCCGCAAAUAUAUAAGCUCUUAAGAGUUUCAGAAGACGAUGCUGAGGAAGUAAAACCUCUUUCCUCUUACUACUGUCUAUUCUGUCAAACACAACCGCAUUCUCUGGGCAGAUAAGUUCUGUACCAUCCCUCCGAUCAGAAAUAAAGACACCUCAAAACGAGGGACGUGUGCAAAGGAAAGGUUAAGAUAAAUAUUGAGGCUCCGACCCUAGGUUCCCAAGACAUUCUCCAUGUAGUCUGAGCCUCCUCAGGGUAAAAGGGACUAAGAGGCUGGGUUCUCAGGAGUACUGAUGUCCCCAACUGCUGGCAAAGCAAGGCCGGCCUAAGAAGGCAUUGAAUAGAUCUCGGGAGAGGCAGAACUACUACGGGGAGGGCAGGGCAGAGCAGGGCAGGCAUUGCAGCCCAGAGUUUUUAGUGAGGCGAUCCCUGAGUUCCGGGAAGACGCGACCAGAAUCUCUGAGAACCCUGACGCGGGUUCUCAAGAAGUAUAAGCCUGCAACUCAUGGAUCCGAAGCGUGGAUGCGACAGUUCGGACUCAUACAUAGGUAUGAGAAAUGGAGGCCAACCUGAUCUACAAUCCAAGAUCCAGGCCAGCCAGGGCUACAUGAUGAGACUGUCUCUCGGGUUUUUUUCGAAAAUAAAAUACAAAAGUGC
rnacentral:sRNA from 1 species